GGGCCGGUAGCUCAGCUUGGCUAGAGCACUCGACUGAUAAUCGAGAGGUCAAGGGUUCAAAUCCCUUCCGGCCCA
rnacentral:tRNA from 1 species